rnacentral:rRNA from 2 species
UUGACCUCGGAUCAGGUAGGGAUACCCGCCGAACUUAA